rnacentral:rRNA from 1 species
CCUACGGGAGGCUGCAGUCGAGAAUCAUUCACAAUGGGGGAAACCCUGAUGGUGCGACGCCGCGUGGGGGAAUGAAGGUCUUCGGAUUGUAAACACCUGUCAUGUGGGAGCAAAUUAAAAAGAUAGUACCACAAGAGGAAGAGACGGCUAACUCUGUGCCAGCAGCCGCGGUAAUACAGAGGGCUCAAGCGUUGUUCGGAAUCACUGGGCGUAAAGCGUGCGUAGGCUGUUUCGUAAGUCGUGUGUGAAAGGCGCGGGCCCAACCCGCGGACGGCACAUGAUACUGCGAGACUAGAGUAAUGGAGGGGGGACCGGAAUUCUCGGUGUAGCAGUGAAAUGCGUAGAGAUCGGGAGGAACACUCGUGGCGAAGGCGGGUUCCUGGACAUUAACUGACGCUGAGGCGCGAAGGCCAGGGGAGCGAAAGGGAUUAGAUACCCCUGUAGUC